rnacentral:rRNA from 1 species
UACGUAGGGUGCAAGCGUUGUCCGGAAUUAUUGGGCGUAAAGAGCUCGUAGGCGGUGUGUCGCGUCGGCCGUGAAAACCUGCAGCUCAACUGCAGGCUUGCGGUCGAUACGGGCAGGCUAGAGUUCGGUAGGGGAGACUGGAAUUCCUGGUGUAGCGGUGAAAUGCGCAGAUAUCAAGGAGGAACACCGGUGGCGAAGGCGGGUCUCUGGGCCGAUACUGACGCUGAGGAGCGAAAGCGUGGGGAGCGAACAGG